CCUACGGGAGGCAGCAGUGGGGAAUAUUGCGCAAUGGGCGAAAGCCUGACGCAGCGACGCCGCGUGAGGGAUGAAGGUCUUCGGAUCGUAAACCUCUGUCAGCAGGGAAGAACGGUCACUGUGCUAAUCAGCAGUGAAUUGACGGUACCUGCAAAGGAAGCACCGGCUAACUCCGUGCCAGCAGCCGCGGUAAUACGGAGGGUGCGAGCGUUAAUCGGAAUUACUGGGCGUAAAGCGCUCGUAGGCGGUAUGUCAAGUCAAGGGGGAAAUCCCCGCGCUCAACGUGGGAACUGCCUUUGAAGCUGGCAAACUGGAGUGUGUGAGAGGAUAGUGGAAUUCCAGGUGUAGGAGUGAAAUCCGUAGAUAUCUGGAGGAACAUCAGUGGCGAAGGCGACUAUCUGGCACAUAACUGACGCUGAGGAGCGAAAGCGUGGGUAGCAAACAGGAUUAGAUACCCGGGUAGUC
rnacentral:rRNA from 1 species